GACGAACGCUGGCGGCGUGCCUAAUACAUGCAAGUAGAACGCUGAAGGCGGAGCUUGCUUCUCUGGAUGAGUUGCGAACGGGUGAGUAACGCGUAGGAAACCUGCCUGGUAGCGGGGGAUAACUAUUGGAAACGAUAGCUAAUACCGCAUAAGAGUAGAUGUUGCAUGACAUUUGCUUAAAAGGUGCAAUUGCAUCACUACCAGAUGGACCUGCGUUGUAUUAGCUAGUUGGUGGGGUAACGGCUCACCAAGGCGACGAUACAUAGCCGACCUGAGAGGGUGGUAGGCCACACUGGGAAGGAGACACGGACCAGACUCCUGCGGGAGGCAGCAGUAGGGAAUGUUCAGGAAUGGAGGGAAGUCGGACCGAGCGACGCCGCGUGAGUGAAGAAGGUUUUCGGAUCGUAAAGAUCGGUUGUAAGAGAAGAACGAGUGUGAGAGUGGAAAGUUCACACUGUGACGGUAUCUUACCAGAAAGAGACGGCUAACUACGUG
rnacentral:rRNA from 1 species